GGCAAGAUGGCCGAGUGGUCCAAGGCGCCAGACUUAGGUCAACACCAAAAUCUGGUCUCAUUUGAGGCGUGAGUUCGAACCUCACUCUUGUCA